UACGGAGGAUGCGAGCGUUAUCCGGAUUUAUUGGGUUUAAAGGGUGCGUAGGCGGCUUAGUAAGUCAGCGGUGAAAUUUUGCAGCUUAACUGUAACAGUGCCGUUGAUACUGCCAGGCUAGGAUUUGGUUGCUGUGGGUGGAAUGUGUGGUGUAGCGGUGAAAUGCUUAGAGAUCACACAGAAUAUCGAUUGCGAAGGCAGCUCACAAAGCCAAGAUUGACGCUGAGGCACGAAAGUGUGGGGAGUCAAACA
rnacentral:rRNA from 1 species